rnacentral:rRNA from 1 species
UUUGGCCUCCGGGGGGCAGCAGUGGGGAAUAUUGCACAAUGGGGGAAACCCUUAUUCCGCGACGCCGCGUGCGCGAAGAAGUAGUUCGGUAUGUAAAGCUCUAUCAGCAGGGAAGAAAAAUGACGGUACCUGAGUAAGAAGCACCGGCUAAAUACGUGCCAGCAGCCGCGGUAAUACGUAUGGUGCAAGCGUUAUCCGGAUUUACUGGGUGUAAAGGGAGCGCAGGCGGUGCGGCAAGUCUGAUGUGAAAGCCCGGGGCUCAACCCCGGGACUGCAUUGGAAACUACCGAACUAGAGGGUCGGAG